CCCAGUUUGAUUUACUGAACUGUACGUGGCCCAGUUGAUUUACUGAACUGUACGUGGCCGUUGAUUUACUGAACUGCACAUGGCCCAGUUGAUCUACUGAACCUCACGUGGCCCAGUUGAUUUACGGAACUGUACGUGGCCAGUUGAUUAUACUGACUGCACAUGACAUGGCCCAGUUGAUUACUGAACCGCAUGUUGGCCCAGUUGAUUUACUGAACUGUACGUGGCCCAGUUGAUCUACUGAACCUCACGUGGCCCAGUUGAUUUACUGAACGGCACGUGGACCAGUUGAUUUACGUGAACGGCACGUGGCCCAGUUGAUUUACUGAACUGUACGUGGCCCAGUUGAUUAACUGAACUGCACAUGGCCCAGUUGACUACUGAACCUCAUGUGGCCCAGUUGAUUUACUGAACUGUAGUGGCCCAGUGGAUCGUACUGAACCUCCGGUGGCACCAUUGAUUUACUGAACUGCAUGUGGCCCAGUUGAUACUGAACUGCAACGUGGCCCAGUUGAUUUACGAAAUGUACGUGACGUUGAUUUACUGAACUGCACGUGGCCCAGUUGAUUUCGGGCCCCGAGUGGCUGCGGUCUAAGGCAUUUCACUGCUAGAGGCGUCACUACAAACCCUGGUGUCGAUUCCAGGCGGUAUCACAACCGACCUUUAUUGGGGAGUCCCAUAGGCAGCGCACAAUUGGCCCAGCGUUGUCCGGGUUAGGGUUUGAACCAGGAGGGGCCCUUCAUUGUAAAUAAGAAUUGGUUCUAACUGAACUUGCCUGGUUAAAUAAAAGUGUUUACAAGUGCUAACAAGAACUUACCAGGACCCAGUCCUUUUCCACACUCCAUAAAAGUUUUUAAUUCAAUUGACACUAGUACCCAUUGGGGGCAAAUGUUUACAACAAAUAAUCACGUGCAUACAAACUUUUCAAACCAGUCAAGUCUACUUCUCCAGUUCCCGCUAACCUUUUACUAAUGUACGAUUAGGCUACUUCUACCAGUCCCCGCUAACCGUUUUACUAAUGUACGAUUAGGCUACUUCUCCAGUCCCCUAACCUUUUACUAAUGUACGAUUAGGGCUA
rnacentral:lncRNA from 1 species